GAUGAACGCUGGCGGCGUGCCUAAUACAUGCAAGUCGAGCGAAAAGACGAGGAGCUGGCUGCUCUGACGUUAGCGGCGGACGGGUGAGUAACACGUGGAUAACCUACCUAUAAGACUGGGAGAACUACGGGAAACCGGAGCUAAGAGCGGAGGAUAUAGUGAAGCGCAUGGUUCAAGAGUGAAAGAGGGUUUUGCGGACAGUUGUAGAUGGAUCCGCGCCGGAUUAGCGAGUUGGUGAGGUAACGGCUUACCAAGGCGACGAUGCGUAGCCGCCCUGAGAGGGUGAUCGUCCCCCCUGGACCUGAGACACGGUCCUGACUCCUACGGGAGGCCGCAGUCGGGAAUCUUCCGCAAUGGGCGAAAGCCUGACGGAGCAACGCCGCGUGAGUGAUGAAGGUCUUCGGAUCGUAAAACUCUCUUAUUAGGGCAGAACAAAUGUGUAAGUAACUAUGCACGUCUUGACGGUACCUAAUCAGAAAGCCCCGGCUACCUACGUG
rnacentral:rRNA from 1 species